GGGCGUAUAGCGCAGUGGUAGCGCGUUACAGUUGUACUGUAAAGGUCCUGAGUUCGAAUCUCGGUAUGUCCC